GUUUUCUUCAAGCGGGAAUGGAAGCGAAAUUGGCCCUUCCUGGUCGGAUUCGCCGUCACCGGAACUGUGAUCACCAAAUUUUCUCUUGGCCUAACUGAGGAGGACGCCAAAAAUUCAAAAUUCGUCCAGGCACACAAGAGGUGAUUUCGGAAUGGAAGAUUUGCACCGCCUUUGCACAUCGUAUUAGAUGUCUGAAGAGAGCUUUUCUUGUUUAAGUUUUACAAAUUGUAAUAAAUGAAGACGUUGUAUACAUUUCCAUUUCAGUUAUUUACUUAAUGUGAUUGAGGAAUCCAUACUAAGCAAUUAUGAAAUACUCAGCAGCCUUUAUCUGAAAAACAUGCUGUGCAUUCAAUUCUGAUUUUUUCACUUA